AUGGCGGGGUCUGUUGCCGCCUCGGGGUUCUUCCCCACGCCGGGGUCUACCCCGGCUGCGUUGGCUAGAGGCUCCAAGAACAUGUCUGGUGAAUUACCUGAGACUUUGAGUGUCCGUGGGAUGGUUGCAAAGCCAAACACGCCGCCCGCGUCCAUGCAAGUCAAGGCUCGGGCCCAAGCACUUCCCAAGGUUAAUGGCUCUAAGGUUAACCUCAAGACUACAGGCUCAGACAAGGAGGAUACAGUGCCUUACACUUCCUCAAAGACCUUCUAUAACCAACUGCCCGACUGGAGCAUGCUUCUUGCAGCUGUCACGACCAUCUUCCUGGCCGCGGAGAAGCAGUGGACGAUGCUUGAUUGGAAGCCCAAGAGACCUGACAUGCUUGUUGACACAUUUGGCUUUGGUAGAAUAAUCCAGGAUGGGCUGGUGUUUAGGCAGAACUUCUUGAUUAGGUCCUACGAGAUUGGUGCAGAUCGUACAGCUUCUAUAGAGACGUUAAUGAAUCAUUUACAGGAAACAGCUCUUAAUCAUGUGAAAACUGCUGGUCUCCUUGGAGAUGGUUUUGGCGCUACGCCAGAGAUGAGUAAACGGAACUUGAUCUGGGUUGUCAGCAAAAUUCAGCUUCUUGUAGAGCAUUAUCCCUCAUGGGAAGAUAUGGUCCAAGUUGACACAUGGGUAGCUUCUGCUGGAAAAAAUGGAAUGCGUCGAGAUUGGCAUAUCCGCGACUACAAUUCGGGCAGAACAAUCUUGAAAGCUACAAGUGUUUGGGUUAUGAUGAAUAAGACCACUAGAAGACUUUCAAAAAUGCCAGAUGAAGUUAGAGGUGAAAUAGGCCCGCACUUUAACGACCGUUCAGCCAUAACAGAGGAGCAGGGUGAAAAGUUGGCUAAGCCAAGGAACAAAGUUGUGGACCCUGCCAACAAGCAGUUCAUAAGGAAGGGGCUUACUCCCAAGUGGGGUGACCUUGACGUGAACCAACAUGUGAACAAUGUGAAGUAUAUUGGGUGGAUCCUUGAGAGUGCUCCUAUUUCAAUACUGGAGAAGCAUGAGCUUGCAAGCAUGACACUGGAUUACAGGAAGGAGUGUUGCCGUGACAGUGUGCUGCAGUCACUUACCAACGUUUCAGGUGAAUGUGCGGAUGGCAGCCCAGACUCUGCCAUCCAGUGCGACCAUCUGCUCCAGCUGGAGUCUGGAGCUGAUGUUGUUAAGGCUCAUACAACUUGGCGGCCAAAGCGACCGCAUGGCGAAGGAAACCUUGGGCUGUUCCCGGUUGAGAGUGCAUAA
rnacentral:rRNA from 1 species